GCGCUUGUAGCUCAGCUGGAUAGAGCAACCGCCUCCUAAGCGGUAGGUCCCCGGUUCGAAUCCGGGCUCGCGCG
rnacentral:tRNA from 3 species